AUGGUCACAAGACCUUUUGGAAAAUUCCUGUGGCAGUUUCUAUAUUUGGUUUACCUCUUAUCACCUCUGAGUUACAGCAUUCACAGGAAGCCAUCUCAAGCUAACACACUUGUCCUGAUAUUUCUUUUUGUCAUAAUCUUUACUUUCAGGGUUAAACUAAUUCCUAAAUGUGAGUGCAAUCAUGCAUUUGAAAGUACAUUUACAUGUAUAGCCUUAGUGAUUCAAUUAUAUCUAUUAAUGACAGAGCAAAAAUUGCAUUGUCAAAAGAGCUGGUAAUAAAGUUGCCAUACAACUUUCUGUACUGUUUUGUGGAAAUGUGCACUAGGCCAAUAUCUAUUAAAGGGAAGAUAUUAUUAAUAGGGACAGCAAAAUUCUCAGGAUCAUAGUUCUUUGAUUUUCCAAAAUACCUUUUGAAAUUUUUCUUCCUAGGAUUAACACGAAAUGGAUCUACACUGACAAACAAAAGGGAAUCUGAACCAACUGAUUGGCUGGAAACUAAGGCAAAUAAUUUGUCAUGCACAGUGCUUUCCCAGUAUAUUGAUGCAGUAUGCUGGAACAGAAGAGCACUUCAAAGGAGAUGUUCUUCAGCAGAAUCUUGGCAACAUACAGGUGCCUGAAGUUAGCUUUUAAUUCAUUAGGAAAGGACUUUGAUAACUGCCUUUAUUGUAGAUGAUACGAAUUAUUUCAUAGUGUCCACUGACUCACUUGAUGCCUUGAACAUCUGGAAUGGAUUUCUUAAUUACAUGUCAAGAUAGAAAUUGCAUUAAUACAUUUUUAAAGGAUGUUGGAGUUGGUUGCCUCAGCUUAAGGAAGACCAGAGUUUUCUAUUGAUUAAAAUGAUAUUGAUCAGACUGAAUAAGACAGUUUAGGCAUAGGUUGUUUAAGAUUUUCAGUAAUAUUUGAUACUUUUUGGGCUAAAGACUGUUAGUCCUUUUCAUAGUUAGUUUCUUCUCAUAGAAAUCUUUUCUUUCCAUGAUCAGGUCUGUGUAACAUUCUCACUUUUGUAUCAGAGAACAGUUCACUUCUGAGUCCAGGAUACAACAUGAGCAGACAUCCCUACAAAGAGAAUGACACAUGCAUUCUAAAAGCAGGUAUCUGCUAGGUAUGAGAGACUGUCCAACCCAGAGCUCAUACCAUCAAGUCCUCCACAGUCCCAUUAUUAGCAAGGGCGAAUCACCCUCCAAAUCAGGCUGUAGCAGAUGUAAUAGCUGAGAAGUGGCUUGGCAGAAUCAUAAAAUCAUGAAGUUGGAAAAGACCACUGAGAUCAGCUAGUCCAACUGUCAACCCAUCAACAGCAUGCCCACUAAACUACCUACACAAACUGUUGCUCCCUGUCUUUUCUGUGAAACAACUGCAAAUCACAUAGAAAUGCCCAUAGAAUGAUUUUAGGCUGCUAUCUCCUAGCUAGGGUAGCUGACAAAAAUUUUUCAAGGCUUACCUAUUUCUACUUUUCAUUCUCAUGGCUACAUUUAAGAUCAUAAAUGACAGUUUCAGGGAUGAAGAAGCUGCCUUACUUAAAUAAAAAUAAGAAGAAAUAAUAGAAGCCAUCCAGAGGGAAUGUGAGAAGUGAUGUUUGCUACUCAAGUAUUACUUUUGGAGGUAUAUUCGGAACAUUUUUAGAAGAAAGUGAACUGUAUAAACAAAUCUUUUUGAAUAUGUUCGUAUAUUCAAUUCCUUCAACCAGUCUCAUGUCGGGUUAUUUCACUUCCUGAAAGGGCAGUUUCUCAGCUGAGAAUGUUAUAUGCAACUAACAUUUAUGCUGGAGUUUCAGAUCAGAGCUAUGCAGAGCAGAUCAGACCUGUGGAGAACUUGUAGACAGCAGACCUUCUUUAAAAGAGAAUCUCUAGAUCUACGUUCUCUUUAGUGAGAGCAUCUAUCAGUCCUUAUGGCUCAAAUGUGAUGCACACAGUCCAUAACAUUCACACCGGUCCUUCUCACAGCUGAACAAACUUCAGUCCAUUCUGGUCCUUCUCCUCAUCAGUGUCCUCUCUUUACUUUAGUUUAUCAGGGAAAUAUAUAAAUAUUUUUCUUGGAGUAAGUUUGAGCUCUUCUAUGCUGCUACAGUUCAGAACUCUAGUUUCUGAAAAUAUAUCUGUGGCUGCUCUGGGGUGUUUGUACCUCUCCUCUGCAUCAGCAGCAGGGACAGGGCAAUGGAGGUGUCUGCACCUGAGCUGCCACACGUAUUAGCUUCAUCUUGCUGACAAAAACACUAUCUUACUACUCUAACAUGAUAGAGGUUCAAGCUAACAUUACACUACCUGAAAUGUCUCUAGCCUAUAGAAAAUACCAUGGGAGCACAGCUGGGAACAGUAACCUCUUGGCUACUAUAGCCCAAUCCAGCUGUGUUUAUGAAUCAGAAUUUGUUCUCUUUUUAUAAGACUUGCCUAUAAUUACCAUUCACAUUUUCCUUCUUGUGUUCUUUUUCUUUCUUUGUCUAUUACUUUUAUUUUCUGUGUUUAUCCACUUCUGAUAAUAACACUUUAGAACAGAGAUCAUGAAUUUUUAAUCCCAGGGAAUGCUAUACAGAUUUCAGGGUUAUAAAAACAUUGAUUUAUCCUUCUUAACUGAAUGUAUCUACUUAUUCACAGGGAUAUUGCAGUGUCAGUGAUACAGAUUAUUUCAGCUAGAAUAUCUCAAGUUAUAUUGUUACAAACACCUAAGAUACAUACUGCAUUCAUGACUGUACAAGCACUUCAAAAAACUUAGAUUAUAUAUUAUCAUAUGACUCAUGGAAGGUAGGAAAAUAGUCUUUCGCUUACUAAACCAGAAUGGAAAACUGAUAAAACUCAGUUUAUCCUGCACAUCCAAUUAAGAUUUGACAGAUUUUGUAUCUAGCCUACAGGAAGCCUCAAGUGAUCUAAGUUGGAAGUUAGGGAGAAUGCAUCUGGGCUGUAGCAAUUUUUUUAUUUUUUCAGAACUCCGAGAGAACUCAAAUCCCCUGCUAAAGCAGGUACCCUACAGUAGGUCACACAGGUCCAGAUAGGUCUUGAAAAUCUCCAUGGAAGGAAAUUCCACAUCUGUGGGCACUGUUCCAGUGUUCUGUUGCCCUUACCUUAAAUAAAUUCUUCCACAUGUUUGAAUGGAACUUCCUAAAGAACCAUUUGUAUGUAUACCCAAGAAGUGCAUCACUAUUAAUAGACCACUUUGUAUCGGUGUACAUGAGUAUCCAGGGUUUCCUCCUGAGUGAACUGAAGUGCUUGAGUAACCCCAACUUGUUAAAUCAAUAGAAGCACUGUCUGUGAAGAGAAACAGUUGAAGACAUUACAUUACUUGCUCACUGUGUGCAGUGGAGAAUCAAAGGCACAUCUGACCUUGACACUCUUUUGUGUGAGAUGAUUGGUCUAAGAUUCUAUGGACAGAUUGCCUGUUUGCAGAACUUCCUCUCUUAAAAAAAUAAAAUUAAAAAAAAAUACAUGUUACUGGUUGCAAUGUGGGGCAAGUCACAUUACCUGCUACUUCUGGAAAACAGUAUCACUGACUUUUCAAAAGCCUUUUUGAUCUCAGACCUCCCCACAAAUCACUGCACUCCUGACACCUUUCUGAUUUCAGCAAGCUCUGACAUUGUCACUUGCUACAUCUCUUACUAGCCGUAAGCCUUCGUGACAUGAACACUUAAUUUUGAUACAUAGAUUAGAUUGUAAUUCUAAUUUUCCCUUAAGCCUUCUUCAUAUCAGAAUUUUGGAAUUGCUUUCAAGAAGGGUCUUAAUAUUGCACAAUUUAUGUUACAUUCUUACCUGUUCGUAGACUUGGAAACCACAGAACUACAUGCUGCUAUGUAUUGUUGCUUCUCUUUUCAGUUUGGAACUUAAAAUCAAGAUCAGAGUAAGCUACCUGUUUUACUUUGAGUGGUAUAACCAUUUAAGUCACUUAGAAAGUAAAUUGUACUUGUGUAAAAUAGCUAUCAAACUUUUAAAAUUGCAAAUAAAUAUAUUACAUAAAAAUUAUAUCAUGCUAUCAGAGUAUUUUCAAAUGUAUUUUAAAUAAACUAUUCUAAAUGUGAUAAACUCUGAAGUUUUUAGGUCUGUACAUCAGAGAGUUUCAAAGUAAAAGGUGAUCAAAUAGGCUACAGAACAGUCGUAAAAUAGGUUAUUGGUAAUAGAAUAUAAAGAGUAUGGAAAACAAGUACAUUUCGUUAAGCAGAAAAGGUAGGUCCAUGAGUAUGGGGAAAGGAAGAGUAGAGGGGAGAAAGGAAGUCAUGAGAAAAAAUAGUAGUAUAGAGAUUAACUGAUUUAUGUGUGUUUUAUGGCAGUGGUUUGGAAUUUAGUAGGUUGUAAAAGACCAGAAGGGCAUAUGUGUAUUUUACAUGAUGCAGCAAUAUCUUUUUAGUUUCAGCAGCCUAAACAAUUCCCAUCUUCAUAUUUAGGUGGGCACAUAUGUUAAUUCAUAUCUGUUUAAGUACAUAGCAGGACUUGAGUUUUCUCCAUUGAAUGUUAAAAAUUUUCCUAUUGAUUUGAAAUAAAAAAUAACACAUUUUCUAAUAUGAUGACCCUUGUGGAAACUUUGACUGAAAAUGAUGAAAAACUAAAUAUCAUUAAAAGGUUGUCUUCAGAUUGCUCCUUACCUUACCACACACACAGUGCUUUAAACUGGAAAAUACUGUAAAGACAUUUGGGACACUAUUUCAGUGAUGUCAUUGUGAUAUUUUGUUGUAAAAUACCAUUGUUGGCAGUGGAGUGUUAUUGUCUGUGGUGCAGUAGUUAGCAAAAGAUUCUAAUUCUAAUGUGUCCAUUUGGACCAAGGUAGAAUAAGUGAAUACAACCUGUACUGUACUGUUGGUAGAGACAGAUAUAAAUAUAUAAUAUAAAAUACAAACAGUUUAUCAAAAGUAAAACAUAAAAUAUAUCUUUUGUAAUGCCUAAACAACUUUAGAUACCUAUACUUGAAGCUCUUCAGUUUGCUUUUGAAGAACAGGAAUGUCAUUUUUUGAUAGAAUGGCUUUCCCAGAAUGUCUUAAGAGCUCCAUUUGUGUUUAGUCAUGCAGAAGUGAUGAAACUGUUGUCUAGUUCAAGAGCAGAGAGUGAACAUUUACAAAAGCAAUGAGAGGCAAGAAAAAAUUAUUUGAGAAGAAACAGUGAGCCCAUUGUGGUAGUACACAAGGUAGGUAGGCAAGGGGAGGACUAGAAGAGGAAUAUUUUUAAAUAUGCCAUUUAAGAAAUACUGACUGAAUUCAGUAAACUUUCCAGUGCUUAAUUAAAAAUUGUAGAUGAUACUAUAAAUAUGGCAAUAGCACACUGACAAACACAGGUCCAUCUCAACAGUUGGUAAAGUUAUCGUAACAAUCAUUUAUGGUCCAUGAGUGGAGGGAAUCCAGGGGAGAUGAGGACCUUUCUUUAGAAAUAUAUAUGAAGACUUUUUCUUUGUGUAAAAAUAAGAAAUAUUAGAGGAUGUCAAAGUGCCAUCAUCCUCACCAUCUGAAAGAGGCAAAGAUAAAAACAGACUGCAGUAACAACUGUGUAAUGUUCUUAUUCACAGUCUGGCAAAAUCUUGGCUAUAUUUCUGUUUGACUGCUUUCCAUGCUACAUCAUCUAUUGUGUUCUGCCUGAUGCACACACACUGUGACUUCAGAACCAGCGAUGUGCACAUGAAGUGUUAUUGGGCAUCUUGUCAACAAAAAAGGACAUAGGCAACAUGUUCACAAAAGCACCCAACACUGUGAGCAGACCAAGCUAUAAGCAUGAAAUUUUUAUUACCCAAGGGAAUUUAUUGAUGUCUUGAACUUGUUCCUUUCAGCUGUGAUGCAUGUUAGGGGCUGGAAGGCACUAAAAACUCAGUAUAGCUUGUGGUAUGAAAAAAAUGAUCAUGUUGUUCAUGAAAAUGGAUGCACAGACACCUGUGAAAUUGAUAUCAGCAGCUGGAAGACUGACAGUAGAGUGGUGCAUAGCAGUUGAAAUAGGAGUAGCUAAUUUUUGGAAGCAAAGGUGAAGCUGUUAUUCAGGUGAGUCAAAAGUAUAUAAUGCAGCUGGCGGUAAUUCCAGUCUCUUUCCACUACCUCCAUAACCAGCAGAGAGAAUUCUCUCUUUAGAUUAAAUAUGAAGAAUGAUACCAUUAGCAUUAUUUCUUAGAUUAUGAAAGAUUAUGCAAGUGUGUCAAAAUCAGAAAGCAGUGAAAACGGUUGAUUGAGUCUUAUAGAGCAUUUGUUAGUAUAAGUGAAUAAUUUCUUCUAACAUGAGACUUCAAUGGAGAAAAUGUUGGGAGCAAGGGAUGAAGAAUAUUUCCAGAGAAACAAUGAAAAUGUAGGUAUUAGAGAAGCAGAUUAAGUAAUACAAGUUAUAUCACAAUAUAUUCAGAUCUAUAGUUGCAGAUGAUGGAACCCUCCCUUCCCUCCUCCUUCCCCCCC
rnacentral:lncRNA from 1 species